UGUUACAACUAAUCGUGGAUCCCUUUAAAAUGAAAAUGAAGCUCUAUGAUUGGCAGAAAAACUAAAAAGCUUGUUGACGUAAAGUUUCUGGGACAAGCUGGAGGUUGUUUUUUUUUUGGCUGCAGUUGCGUCUGUCGUGUUUUUUAAGAUUCUGGCAUAAAAGCCGCAGCAUUUAUCUGCGUAAAAGGAAGCGGCAUCUGCAGCACAGCCCUGCAGCAGUCUGGGUCAGGCCAUGUGAUCCCCGAAUGCAGAAGUGAUUCUAGUGAAAUUACAACAGAGCAGCAUGACAACACUUGCAGGGUCUCCACGAUAACAGUCAGCUAAAACGUCUCUCGUGUUUCAUGUCAGGGUCCAGGAUAAGGGAAAUGUCUUUAAACUGUCCCAAAAAUAAAAACCCAGCUGGAAAUAAAYGCCGAGUCCAACCCUCCCGCCGCCCCGUUUGUCCCGAAUCUUCUGAGAAUCCUUCCAAGUUUCAGAUUCAAGGGAAAGCGGGAACUGCAGGAAGCUGCCAGCGGCCUCAGAGAUCGCUCUGUUCUCCUGCUCCACAUGCCGCUCGCAUGUGAGAUCUGCAGCUGUCCUCGUCCAGCAGACGUCCAUCUGUCUUCCUGUCCAGCUGUCUUACAUCGUCCUACUGCUUAUAACCUUUACUUAUGGAGAAAUGAAUUAUGUGAAAUGAUAAAGGGUUGAAGUUUAAGUCAACUGUGAGCCUUUUGGGUGCAUUUCUGUCUUUACUUUCAGAGCACAAAGUAUUUUUUAAUUUGGCUCUCGUGGCGUGAAUUCAUUCUUUCAUUCAUUCACCACAUGAACUGAAAUGUAAACAUGUAUUGUUGAUAUUCUUUAAAAUCUGACCCUGACUCUCACUUAUUUCCUGCUAUUUUUACAUGAUUUUCUUUGCAUUGUUUUAUCAGUGGUGUUCCUCAGGGAUACGUUCUCAUUCACCAGAUAUUUGUUGUGGUGUUUGAACUGGAGCUGCUCAGGUUUUCCACAGAAACCUGUUUAGAAGACGAGUCCAUCAGAGGGAGAGAUCAGGUCAACUGUAAGCCUUCAGUGGUGUUCCUCAGGGAUCCAUUCUCGUUCACCAGAUAUUUGUUGUGGACCCGCUGUGGUGUUUGAACUGGAGCUGCUCAGGUUUUCCACAGAAACCUGUUUAGAAGACGAGUCCAUCAGAGGGACAGCUCAGAUCUACUGUAAGCCUUCAGGUGUAUUUCUUUCUUUACUUUCAUAGCACAAAACAACAUAAUUUAGCUCUCGAGGCUUGAAUUCAUUCAUUCACCACAUGAACUGAACUGUAAACAUCUGUUGUUCUUUAAAAUCUGACCCUGACUCUCACUUAUUUCCUAUUUUUUACAUGAUUUUAUUUAUUCUGCAUUGUUUUAUUAGUGGUGUUCCUCAGGGAUCCAUUCUCGUUCACCAGAUGUUUGUUGUGGACCUGUUGUGUUUGGUUUGAAGACCUGAGGAUGAACUGGAAUUGCUCAGGUUUUCCACAGAAAGACGAGUCCAUCAGAGGGACAACUCAGGUCCGAUCAUUUGUGUUGUGAAGAAAUCUCUUUUCUACGAUGACAUAAGAGUGAAAAGCGACGAUGGAGCUGAACGAUCUGCAGUCGGCGCGCAACACAUCCCCGGCUCUUGUGACACACGGGGUCCAGAACAGCCUGAACUUUCUAUUAUUAAGCAGAAAGAGGAAGAGAGAGAACGGGGCAGUUGAGGUCCUGGGGGCCCUCUUCCUCCUCUUCAUCCUGUUGCAGUCAUGAAUGAGCAGGUUUCUGGUCAACGGAAUGGAGAAGUUGGCGAUCGUUUGUGAGAUCUCUUAUCGUUCAUUCAGUAAACUUGUAAAACAGAAAAAAAAAACGUCGGGGAGGCUAACGUCUCUUUUUGUUCUCUGUCUGCAGCAGACGUGAAAAUACAACAAAAACUCUGCGUCUGCAGGAGAAAGGAAGCGACUUGUUAUAAAACUCGAUCAUCUGCUAAAAACAGGAAACACAGGAACCGUUCAGUUUUUUGAUAUAUUUAGUUUAUAAAACCGUAUCUGGAGUCCUGCCAGUAAUCAGAGGAAGUUCUCACCACAUCCUUUACCUGGUGAACUUUUUCAUGCCUUCACCACCAGAAACAUUCAGCAGAUAUCCUGAUAAAUGAUGAAAUCACUGACAAGCCCCUCCCAGUGUAGGACCCCGCCCCUCCCCCCCCUGCAGCUAAUGGCCUCAGAAUCCUGCAGCUGAAAACACAAACUKCAUCCAACAUCAUCUUUAAAAGACAUUUACAGUGAACCGACGCAAAGUUCUGUGUUCAGACGGAUCCAAACCAAAACCAGCAGCAAUCAGUUCAAAAGCCUGCCUCUCUGAUGGUAUGGGGGUGCAUUACUGCCUYGAGCAUAUAGCUUACACAAAGAAUAAAAGCUGAGUCGCCUAAAUUUAGUUUUAUUCACAGAGACACUUAUCGCUGAUGUUUUUUUCAUCACCUUUAAAACUAAAACAUUUAAAAACGACCUUUCACUUCAGACUUCUGUUAACGUUUUAAAUUUGAGCUUCCUUGUUUUUCAUUUAGAACUUUUGGU